rnacentral:rRNA from 1 species
UACGGAGGGAGCAAACGUUGCUCGGAAUCAUUGGGCGUAAAGCGCACGUAGGCGGUCCGACAAGUCGGAUGUGAAAGCCCCCGGCUCAACUGGGGAAGUGCACUCGAAACUGUCGGACUUGAGUAUGGAAGAGGGUCUCGGAAUUCCCGGUGUAGAGGUGAAAUUCGUAGAUAUCGGGAGGAACACCAGCGGCGAAGGCGGAGACCUGGGCCAAUACUGACGCUGAGGUGCGAAAGCGUGGGGAGCAAACAGG